UAGGGAAUAUUGGGCAAUGGACGCAAGUCUGACCCAGCCAUGCCGCGUGCAGGAUGAAGGCCUUCUGGGUUGUAAACUGCUUUUAUCUAGGAAGAAAACGCCCAUGCGUGGGAAACUGACGGUACUAGAUGAAUAAGCACCGGCUAACUCCGUGCCAGCAGCCGCGGUAAUACGGAGGGUGCAAGCGUUGUCCGGAUUUAUUGGGUUUAAAGGGUGCGUAGGCGGCCCGGUAAGUCAGUGGUGAAAGCCUCCAGCUCAACUGGAGAACUGCCAUUGAUACUGCCGGGCUUGAGUACAGACGAGGUUGGCGGAAUUGAUUGUGUAGCGGUGAAAUGCAUAGAUACAAUCAAGAACUCCGAUUGCGUAGGCAGCUAACUAGGCUGUAACUGACGCUGAGGCACGAAAGCGUGGGGAGCGAACAGGAUUAGAUACCCUGGUAGUCCACGCUGUAAACGAUGAUUACUCGAUGUUGGCGA
rnacentral:rRNA from 1 species